GACGUAGGGGGCCAGCGUUGUUCGGAAUUACUGGGUGUAAAAGGGUUCGUAGGCGGUGUGGGCAAGUCGGGAGUGAAAUCUCUGGGCUCAACCCAGAGACUGCUUCCGAAACUGCUGUGCUUGAGUGUGAGAGAGGCUCGUGGAAUUGCAGGUGUAGCGGUGAAAUGCGUAGAUAUCUGCAGGAACACCCGUGGCGAAAGCGGCGAGCUGGAUCACUACUGACGCUGAGGAACGAAAGCUAGGGGAGCAAACAGG
rnacentral:rRNA from 1 species